GGUGACGUGGCCGAGUGGCUGAAGGCAACGGUUUGCUAAAUCGUCAUACCCGAAAGGGUAUCGAGGGUUCGAAUCCCUCCGUCACCGCCA
rnacentral:tRNA from 2 species